rnacentral:rRNA from 1 species
GACGAACGCUGGCGGCGUGCUUAACACAUGCAAGUCGAACGGAAAGGCCCUGCUUUUGUGGGGUGCUCGAGUGGCGAACGGGUGAGUAACACGUGAGUAACCUGCCCUUGACUUUGGGAUAACUUCAGGAAACUGGGGCUAAUACCGGAUAGGAGCUCCUGCUGCAUGGUGGGGGUUGGAAAGUUUCGGCGGUUGGGGAUGGACUCGCGGCUUAUCAGCUUGUUGGUGGGGUAGUGGCUUACCAAGGCUUUGACGGGUAGCCGGCCUGAGAGGGUGACCGGCCACAUUGGGACUAAGAUACGGCCCAGACUCCUCCGGGAGGCAGCAGUGGUGAAUAUUGCACAAUGGGCGGAAGCCUGAUGCAGCAACGCCGCGUGCGGGAUGACGGCCUUCGAGUUGUAAACCGCUUUCGCCUGUGACGAAGCGUGAGUGACGGUAAUGGGUAAAGAAGCACCGGCUAACUACGUG